GCAGAUUGUGAGAAAGCUAGUUCCUAUGUGUAUACGAUUGCAAAAAAUAUAUAUAUAUUUAUCACAAAUUAUUCAUUAACUAUCUGUCUUGACCAAGGAUGGAGCACAUUUGUCUUAGAGUUCUGUUUAUUUAGUAUAUUCGCCACAUAACUGACAGAAAAAAAUCCUGUCAAAACACUUCAAGGGCAUCUCACUGGCAGUCAUGAAGUGCCAUCUAUUGGCAGGCAGGGGAACGGCAUCAUGAAAGUGCUGCAGUGCAACAGGGAAUUAAGUUUUUCAUUAUCCUGCAAGUCUAACAUAACGCCACAGGCUCAUGAAGCUUGUGCCACUGUGUUUCUUUUGGCCCCUUCCAUAAUUACAAACUCUUUUGAUUUUGAGAUGACACGGUACUGAAUUUUUUUUUUUUUUCUGAUUACUUAUUCAUAGCAACUGUCCUUACCUAAGUUUCACUCUCAGAGCUUUGUGUCUUUGUGUCUUUUCGUCCUGCUUUGGCUGUCAGUCACUGUCAGAGAUCUGCUCUGUUCAUAUAGGGGGAGAAGGGGGAGCCUGGAGUCCUGGGGGAAAAGGGGGAGAAAGGAGAAAGAGGAGAUCCUGUACGUAUUUUCCUGCACUGACAUUUACAAUGCCGCUGCGUUACAGAGUCAUUAACCGAGGCUUCCCUCCCUCUCCCACAGGGUCAGCCAGGUGCCGAGGGAUCCGGCGGCAUGAAAGGACAAAAAGGUGAUGUCGGCCCUCCUGGUCCUCCCGGUCCUGUGAUGACAGCACAUGGAUUAAGACAGCUUUCUGGAACUGACGAAAUGAAGGAAAGAGCCCUAAAAGGAGAAAAAGGAGAUGAGGGGGAGAGAGGCGCUCAAGGACCGCAAGGCUUCAAGGGAAACAUGGGGCCGCCAGGACUAAAGGGAG
ensembl:lncRNA